AACUGGUCGCGAGAUCAGUCGAUAGCCCAGAAGACCUUAGGUCGGACUUCUGGAAUAUCUCCUCAUCAGGCUAAUCACGGUUUUUGACCCGGCUUUUUGCCGGGUCUUUUUUU
rnacentral:sRNA from 1 species